AAUACAAACUCAAUAACGACACUAUCUUACGCCCCACCCCAUCCUUAUCGUGCUGAACCUAUUCUUUUUAUAAUUAAUUAACGAAAAAUAUUAAAAAUGAGAAGAGAAUACUACUAUACGCCAAAGGAAAUAAAUAGGCGGUAACUUUCCCACCAAACUUAUACUCGGAAAAAUAUUAGGAUAGUGUUGUAUUAAUUUUUGGAUUUUCUUAGAUUUAUUUUGAGGUUUUCUAUUCUCUUAUAUUCUAAAAAAAACUUAAAAACUAAUCAUCCUCCCCACAGUAAAUAAAAAAGAAACAUUCUCCUUCCUUAGAUAAAAAAAAAAAGAGGAACUCUAGGAAUCAAAUUGGCAGUUUACCGUCUCGUCUCGUCUCUUCUCAAUUCUCCCAGAAACGUGAUAUCGACCGUCGUCCGACCUGAAAUGGCCAUUGGCAAAGCUCUCCAAAACCACCCAAACGAGUAAUUCAAUUGGAUUGGCAAUCUGUUUAAUCUAGUGGUUAUAGGUGGCGAAUGAGAUUUACAGGACGAGUAAGAACGAGUCCAAUCUAUUUGCUGCUGGCUCUAAAAAAAGGUAAUCCUGUUAAGCAAACAGCCGAAUCCUAUGAAAUAAAUGGGAACAUGCUGAAUAUGAGAGAACUAAGAAGGUCAAGCCACCUGCAAAGAGAACAGCUAAUACUUUGAUUGAUGCUGAUGCAAGAAGAAGUAUUGACUUUGAUGAAAGAUGCAUCAUCUUCAGUAACAAAUGGAGAUGUUAAGAAAGGCAUUAGCCACCUUCAACACAUACUCUGUAUUCGAGAUUGCUACAAAGAAUGUAUCUUGAAGAAGAUGGUCAGAGGUUCAAGAAAUGGUGGAGGUGCACUUAAAGUUCACAUAAAAAUGAUUAACGACUCAGCAGACAUGCCGUUCUUUUAACUCAUUCCGAAGAUCCCUAUAUAUUUGAAUACAUGGAAGCAUCCAUUUAAUGGAGAUUUGGCAGCAAAUCGAGAUUCAACUUCAAUGGCUAUACUUAUUUGUGCGAUGAAGAAGUUAUCAAGCUAGUACUUACAUGCUUGGAGGCGUAUUGCUGUUAGAUUUAAAUUUGAAACUUGUAGAGGUAUUUUGGCAGGACUUAGUAGUGGUUAUUCACGAGCUCAUCUAGUAACAAUGGGUUUAGUUUCUUUUCUUUUUUUUUGACCUGAAGUUCUGACUAUUGUAAUUAUUUGUUUUGGAAAUUAAUAGAAUAUUUUGUUUUGACA